rnacentral:rRNA from 1 species
AUUGAACGCUGGCGGCAGGCCUAACACAUGCAAGUCGAGCGGAUGAAGGGAGCUUGCUCCUGGAUUCAGCGGCGGACGGGUGAGUAAUGCCUAGGAAUCUGCCUGGUAGUGGGGGAUAACGUCCGGAAACGGGCGCUAAUACCGCAUACGUCCUGAGGGAGAAAGUGGGGGAUCUUCGGACCUCACGCUAUCAGAUGAGCCUAGGUCGGAUUAGCUAGUUGGUGGGGUAAAGGCCUACCAAGGCGACGAUCCGUAACUGGUCUGAGAGGAUGAUCAGUCACACUGGAACUGAGACACGGUCCAGACGCCUACGGGAGGCAGCAGUGGGGAAUAUUGGACAAUGGGCGAAAGCCUGAUCCAGCCAUGCCGCGUGUGUGAAGAAGGUCUUCGGAUUGUAAAGCACUUUAAGUGGGGAGGAAGGGCAGUAAGUUAAUACCUUGCUGUUUUGACGUUACCAACAGAAUAAGCACCGGCUAACUUCGUG